GAGAAUUUAAUCAAAGUUAGCAAAAGGCUAACAAAACAUGGAAAACUAAUAUAUAUAUAUAUAUAUAUAUAUAUACACACACACACAUACACACAUAGACAUGCAUAGGAUACAUUAGAUAUAGAUACGAAAUAAACAGGGCCAUUGAUGAUUAACCAAACACUGGGAGUUACAACAGACAGGCAAGGGUCAUAAUCACUAAACAUGAAGAACUCAAACACUAGGAGAAACGAGGAACUGGGAUUCCAGAAUAUGCCAUAAAACUAAAUGUUAGAAUUUCUGAGUUCCUAGUCAGACUCUGCAACCCUGACCUUAGAAUUCAAGAUGGCUUCACAGAAGUGAAUGCUGCAGCUCCUACUUCUGACCUCUGAGAUCAAUGGAACACAGCAAAAAGCUUCUUUGAAGGAGACCUAAUCAAGCCACUGCUUCACCUGGACCUCAUUGGGUAUAAGUGCUUCUAACGAGCUUUCAAAUUUCAGUGCCGCACUACAAAAACAACACCGGUAUUCAGGAUGAUAACAAGCUAAUACCUUUUUGGGAAAGACCACAAACAUUAAAUAUUGUUUUCUCAUUACGGAACAUAUUGUGUUUUAUUUUUCCAUCAGUAUAUAUACUUAGCACUGUGGUCUGCAGGAAACAAGCAAGACAACAGGAGCAGGGUGAACGGGACCAGCAGUGGCUGCAUGAGUCCCUGGAAUAGGGGUGCCGCAGCCUGGAGAAACUGC